rnacentral:tRNA from 1 species
GCGGCGAUGGUCCAACGGUUAUGAUUCGAGCCUUCCAAGGCACUUCUUUGCCUUUUGGCAAAGACCUGCGCUAGAAAGCGAGGAAAGCUCGAGACCCGGGUUCGACUCCCGGUCGCCGCA